UACGUAGGGGGCAAGCGUUGUCCGGAAUCAUUGGGCGUAAAGAGCGCGUAGGCGGCCAGAUAAGUCCGGUGUGAAAGUCACAGGCUCAACCUGUGAAUGCCGCUGGAAACUGUAUGGCUAGAGUCCGGAAGGGGCGAGUGGAAUUCCUGGUGUAGCGGUGAAAUGCGCAGAUAUCAGGAGGAACACCAAUGGCGAAGGCAGCUCGCUGGGACGGUACUGACGCUGAGACGCGAAAGCGUGGGGAGCGAACAGG
rnacentral:rRNA from 1 species